CAGCACAAGAAAUUAUUUUGGAAACACACUUCAUACAAUUACCAUUUACAAAAUUCUUUUUUAGGGGGGAAGGGUAAGGGAGAGGAAUG